CAAAAUAGAUCUAAUAGUUAGAAAAUUCGUUUACAUCGGGUUGUUAUUGUGCAAUUCAAUAUAUUUUGA
rnacentral:tRNA from 1 species